GCCGGGAUGGUGAAACUGGUAGACGCACGGGACUCAAAAUCCCGCGGGGGCAACCCCAUGGGGGUUCGACUCCCCCUCCCGGCACCA
rnacentral:tRNA from 3 species